rnacentral:snoRNA from 1 species
ACCCUUUUCUACUGUGUUUCAUAAGUGUGAUAAGUGGGUUUUCAUACCACUAUGUGAGAUAUACCUCCUUCAGAUCUUGUUAUGAUGUUAGAACAUUACCUCUCUGACA